AGAGUUUGAUCCUGGCUCAGAACGAACGCUGGCGGCAGGUCUUAGGCAUGCAAGUCGAACGGGUGAAGCAGGGCUUGCCCUGUGGAGCUAGUGGCGCACGAGUGAGUAACGCGUGGGAAACUGCCCAUCACUGGGGAAUAACGUUUGGAAACGAACGCUAAUACCGCAUACGCCGGAAACGGGAAAGAUUUAUCGGUGAUGGAUGUGCCCGCGUUGGAUUAGCUUGUUGGUGGGGUAAUGGCCUACCAAGGCGAUGAUCCAUAGCUGGUCUGAGAGGACGAUCAGCCACGCUGGAACUGAGACACGGUCCAGACUCCUACGGGAGGCAGCAGCUAAGAAUAUUGGGCAAUGGAGGAAACUCUGACCCAGCCAUGCCGCGUGAAUGAAGAAGGCCUUCGGGUUGUAAAGUUCUUUUAAUCGUGAAGAUGAUGACAGUAGCGAUAGAAAAAGCACCGGCUAACUUCGUGCCAGCAGCCGCGGUAAUACGAAGGGUGCAAGCGUUGUUCGGAUUUACUGGGCGUAAAGCGUCCGUAGGUGGUUUGUUAAGUCAGAGGUGAAAUCCCAGGGCCCAACCCUGGAACUGCCUUUGAUACUGGCAGGCUGGAGCGUGAUAGAGGAAGAUGGAAUAUCUGGUGUAGGGGUGAAAUCCGUAGAUAUCAGAUAGAACACCAAUGGCGAAGGCAGUCUUCUGGAUCAUUGCUGACACUGAGGGACGAAAGCGUGGGUAGCAAACAGAAUUAGAUACUCUGGUAGUCCACGCCCUAAACGAUGUGUGCUUGUUGUUGGUUCCCUUCGGGGUAUCAGUGACGUAGCUAACGCGUUAAGCACACCGCCUGGGGAGUACGAUCGCAAGAUUAAAACUUAAAGGAAUUGACGGGGACCCGCACAAGCGGUGGAGUAUGUUGUUUAAUUCGAUGCUACGCGAGAAACCUUACCGACCCUUGACAUCCCGCACGCGACUUCCAGAGAUGGUUGUCUUCUAUUCGGUAGGUGCGGAGACAGAUGCUGCAUGGCUGUCGUCAGCUCGUGUAUUGUAGUACGUUUGUAGCCCGACCCGUAAGAACCA
rnacentral:rRNA from 1 species